CCGAGUGCGGGCCCCUCGCGGCCCAACCUCCCACCCUUGUCUCUCUACACCUGUUGCUUUGGCGGGCCCACCGGGGCCACCCGGUCGCCGGGGGACGAACGUCCCCGGGCCCGCGCCCGCCGAAGCGCUCUGUGAACCCUGAUGAAGAUGGGCUGUCUGAGUAUGAUGAAAAUUGUCA
rnacentral:misc_RNA from 1 species